UAGCCGUAAACGAUACUCGCUAGGUGUCGGCCACGGUGCGACCGUUGUCGGUGCCGUGGGAAGCCGUGAAGCGAGCCACCUGGGAAGUACGGCCGCAAGGCUGAAACUUAAAGGAAUUGGCGGGGGAGCACCACAACGGGUGGAGCUUGCGGUUUAAUUGGAUUCAACGCCGGAAAUCUUACCGGGACCGACAGCAACAUGAAGGCCAGGCUGAAGACUUUGCCGGAUUAGCUGAGAGGUGGUGCAUGGCGUAGUCGUGU
rnacentral:rRNA from 1 species